GCGCUUUUAUACUGUAUCUAAUGCAAUGUAUUAAAUCCUAGUUGAUUUUUUUAGGCAUAUAAAUAAAUAUCCUUUUAAAAAUUGUUUUUACCCUUUGAAUACAAAUAUAGAUAACAAGCUUGACCACCAGCAUUUCCUUUGCAUUUUUCAUGUGAAAUUCUGAUAUAACUGUUGUUGAAGUAGCCAUCAUAAUGCCUAAAAAAAUAAUAAUAAUAAACACACUGGAAUCCCCCUGAAAUGUUCCCCAUCUUCUGCUUCAUCUAAGUCUGGUGGCAGACCAAGCGAAGGAUUUAUCCUGCAAUGACAGGCGUAAAAUCAGUCAUGUCAUAACAUUGUGCUGGCACUAUGAAAGCCACCACAGGAAAGGGACUACCAAGAUGUUUCAACUGUAGUUUGGCUACCUUAAAGUGGUAUUCUUUUUUUUGUCCUAACCAAUAAAGCUUUCACUAUCAAGAAUGAAAAUAAAGCCAAUGAAUAGGGGUUUAACCAUGGUCAUUUAUGGAACUAUCGCCAAAUAAUUUUAUGGUAGGCCUUUUUAUUUCUGAAACUUAUGCGAUCACAAUCUUUGUUAAAUGACUUGGGUGGUUGAAAGGCAUUCUAGCAGACUCUUCUACCUGAUGAAAUCACAGAUGGAUCUUAGGUAAGUGCAACUAUAACCACAUAUUAUUCUACAAUGACUGAGGUGCCCGGUGGUAAAGAAAGCACUAUGCAAUGAUAGCUGAAUAUAGCCUACUGUUAUAUCAGGUCUCAAACUACCAUCCUGGUUAUGCAAAAUCAGUGUGAAUGACUAUUUAAGAGAACACCACGAGAUGAUAUUCCUAUCAGACUUAAGUACCUACAUGUAAUAAAAAUAUAUACAACAUAUAUACCCUGUCAACAAUAUAAGAUGUAUUUGAAUGAGUCACACUGAAGUUGAUGAUGCGGAUUCUCUUUUUCCUUUGACCCGUAAGAAUAUAAUUGCACAAUUAAUACCUACAAUGGACUUCAUCAUGCAUUAUAAAUUAACAAAAAUAAAAUGGAAAUAAAUACUCAAAAACAAUACAAGACUGAUGAAUCUGGCCAGCAUUUUACUUUAACCAAAAAAUAAAUGAAAAAAAAACUCAUAAAAUGCCCAUUAAGGUCACAGUGAACUGUAGGACACAACCAGAUUUGGCAUAAAGAUCAAUGUAUGACUAGUGCUUCCUCAGUUUUAAAUGUGGACACAAAUGUUCUGUUAGUCUUUCCUUGAAACUCACGGUUCCCUUUUCCAUUGUCCAAGGAUUAGUAGAGGUCACAAAAAUAUUCUCACAGAUCAAGAGAUAGGAAGGUGUUUUGGUUUCUCUCAGGUUCCAAAGGUGUGGUCAUUCGCUGUGGUAGUUGUCAUUGCAGUCAUACAGGUAAAGUGAUUACAACAGUACAGUCAUCAAUGAGAUGCUCACAAGCUAAAUGUUUGACAAUCCAAAUACUCGUGUUCAGCUUUCCCUUAAGAGUCACAAUUGAAAUACAAUGGUGCUUCUCAAAAAAAAAUAAGGUGGUCUUUCUAAAAUAUAUCUCUUCUCUAUUUCCUAAAGGGGGUUAACCUGCUGAAGCUCUGCCAGAAGGGAGACUUGCACCUUUCAGGUUCAGGGAAUUCAAAUUCUGAUUGUUCCAUGCCGUCUCCUACCAAGUACUGUCCUGGAUUCAUGGGGUCCAUAGGAGGGGGGUAUCCAGGGGGCACAGACCUAUGGCCUACACAUGGGAGGAGAGAUAUAUUAAGGAGGAGAGAGAUGGACUAAAAACAGAAACUGUUAGUUAACUAAUUUGGGAAAGUGUGCAUUUACCUUUUUGUUUGGUCAUUCUUCGCACUGUCAUCGCUGCUUGUCGCUUCUGAUACUCUGAUAUCUCAAACCCUGAAAAAUAUAAAUAAUUCUUAUAUUCAUUCACCAUUUUCAUUUGUUGUACAAAUGAACAUUUCUUUCACAUACACACCUAUUUUUUCAUCCUCUUGCACCAUCUUGCGUUCCUCGUGAAAAGCUUUUAGCCAGCGAAGUUUCUCCUCCAGCUUCUUGGCCAGGAAGAUGUGGAUCUCGUCGGAGUCCUUAUUACUCAGCUUGAACGCAUUCUUCACACUCACAUUGAAGUCAUCAUCCCGCCCAUCCACAGCAUCAACUAAAUUGUACCUGUCCAUAUCCAUGCGGCCCUUGUAGUACAGGAUGUCUCGUCGUAU
rnacentral:lncRNA from 1 species